AACAUAUAUACAAAAUGUAUAAUAUGGUUCGUAGUGAAUAAUUAAUAAAAGGCACAAAAAUGUACACAAAAUGAACGGCAUAUACAACAAAUAUACAUAUAAGAUGACUUGCACAAAAUCUCUACCCAAGUUCGGGUCACACUUCAAAUAUACCACUCCCUCCCCCCCAACUUAAAGAGAAAACACAGCCCGUAUAACACACCCACCCACACAUUUCGACGGAUUUACACAAACUUAAUGAUCAUGAGAGAAAUUACAGAUCCAACUUAAUGGUCUAUAAUAAGGAAAUAGCUUUAUAAUGGACAA
rnacentral:sRNA from 1 species